rnacentral:rRNA from 1 species
UAGAAGUAUGAAUUAUUAGUUAUAAUAAUUUAUGCAUCUUCGCGGAAACGAAAGUCUUUCGGUUCCGGGGGAAGUAUGGUUGCAAAGCUGAAACUUAAAGGAAUUGACGGAAGGGCACCACCAGGAGUGGAGCCUGCGGCUUAAUUUGACUCAACACGGGAAAACUCACCCAGGCCGGACACUAUAAGGAUUGACAGAUUGAUA